CCCUUAGAUGUUCUGGGCCGCACGCGCGCUACACUGACGAAUGCAACGAGCUUAUAACCUUGGCCGAAAGGUCGGGGUAAUCUCCAAAUUUCGUCGUGAUGGGGAUAGAUUAUUGCAAUUAUUAAUCUUCAACGAGGAAUGCCUAGUAAGCGCAAGUCAUCAGCUUGCGUUGAUUACGUCCCUGCCCUUUGUACACACCGCCCGUCGCUCCUACCGAUUGAAUGGUCCGGUGAAGCGUUCGGACCGUGGCCUUUGGACGGUUCGCCGUCUGUUGGCUGCGGGAAGUUCGUUAAACCUUAUCAUUUAGAGGAAGGAGAANUCGUAACA
rnacentral:rRNA from 1 species